GUCGUCGUCCACCUCACCUCCUCCUUCGACAGGUCCGCCGUCCCGUUCGGGGUAACCGUGCUGCUCCUCUUCGCCCCCGUUGCCCCCCAAGCCAUCGGCCCCCGACCGCCCGACUGGCCCCCAUGUCGCUGCACAUGCCCCUCGCCGCCCUCGCGCCGAUGCACAGACACCCCGCUGCCCAGCCACGCUGCCGCGGAAAGAGGCUCCCUGGUGGCUCUCGAAACCCCGUCGAUCCCUCUCUAUACACGCAGAUACCCAGCCUUGAGGCACCCACGCGGAACAGAUCUGGCGAGACGCAGAGACAGACGAGAGGAGGAGCCCGCCGCCGAUCUUUAGUGCCCAGCCGCUGCCGGAGCUUCAACGCACAGCCGCUGCCGGAGCUUCAAUGCCGGCGUCUUCCUCCGGCAGCCUAUCUUCCCCAGGUGAUUCCUCCCCUCUCCGCCACUCCAUCCCCUAGGGUCAUGGAUGGCGGCCUUCUUCCUCCUUGCAUUGCAUGGGCAUGGUGUUUUGUUCUUGUCCAGCCCAUCUUACUAUUCAAGAGAUUUGAUAUUGAUUGACACGCUGUUGGUCGAAUUUUAUUAGAAGUCAGUACUAAUGCUGCAGUUCGUCAGUCUGGAGAAGACAAUUUCUUCAGAGAUCAUUGUAUUUUCCUGAGCAGAACUGAUGUACUUGAAGCUUUAAUCAUGAUAGAACCCACCAUGAUAGAACUGAUGUACCUAAGCAGAUUUAUUAGAACCCACCAUACAUUUUAUUUCUAUAGAUUUAUUAGAACCCACCAUGAUAGAACUGACGUACCCGAGCAGACAAUGAGAGAGAUCUUGUCAUCUCUUCUCCUGGCACGAAGAACUUAAUCAUGGAGUAGAUUGAAGGUACACAAUUUCAGAUUUGUACGUGCAGAGGUGCGCUUAGUAACGACAGUUCUUGGCUUCAUUUACCGGAACAUCGUUAGGUCCUUACAUGAUCCUUAUUUGAUCAAAUUGCUGGUUAGUACUUUUACAGGAACAUGGAAACCAAAAUAUGUGCUCUGUAUCCAUUCUUAUCAUGUGUGUGCUCUCAAAAUCAAGCUUCAUGCUACAACGGCCAAUAUAACUUAAACCAACAAUCAUCUAAAGUUCUGAAGAUGCCUCACCAUGCAAUAUGUGUAGCUAACUGAAGAUAAAUUAAUGAUUUAUGUUCAUGUAUCCUUUUAAUACUGGUUCUUUUUUUCUGUUCAUGUUAUGCAAGCUGGAUUCAGCAGUUUUCUAUGGCUAAAAGUCAAUUGACAUGUCAAUAUACGCGAGCAUGUCUUUGCGUUUAGGAGUUGAGAAGACUUUGAGUGCACGCCAAGGGAAAGGUGAAUCAGUUGAUGUAGGUGAAUUUUCUUGAAAUGAAAGUGUGG
rnacentral:lncRNA from 1 species